UGUGGAGUAACAGAUUACAUGUACCAGAGUAAUCAGAGUACAAAUGAUGAGUAACUGUAUUCAGUUACAGUUACUGUUUCAGUGAGUGGGAAUUGGAUUACAGUUACUUUGUUGAAAUAAAUGGAUUAAACAGAGGGAUUUAACUGUUUUCAUAUUUUGGUUCAAUAUCCCUUUUUUUUUUUUCUUUUUUUCAGUUUUUUUUCUUUUACGGUAAUUCCACUCAUUGCCACACACUAAACCAGGACUAAACCAGGACUAAACCAGGUCUAAACCAGGUCUAAACCAGGACUAAACCAGGUCUAAACCAGGUCUAAACCAGGUCUAAACUAGGACUAAACCAGGUCCAAACCAGGUCUAAACCAGAUCUAAACCAGGUCUAAAACCAGGUCUAAACUAAGUCUAAACCAGGUCUAAACCAGGUCUAAACCAGGACUAAACCAGAACUAAACCAGGACUAAACCAGGACUAAAACCAGAUCUAAACCAGGUCUGAACUAUGUCUCAAACAGGAUUUAACAAGACUAAAUUCUUCUAUCAAUAAUAUUUUUAAUUUAGUUAAAUAAAGUCUGGGCUUUUUAUUUUCUUUUAUCAGACAAAACUUCUUAUGUGAAGAUUUCCUCAUCUUUGUUUCUCUACAGCAACACAAAGUAAUCCAAAGUAAUCAGAUUACAUUACUCACUUUAAGUAAUUUAAUGGAUUACGUUACAAACU